UCUCAGUAGGUUUGUAUGAAGUAUGUUUACUGAUUCUUUGUUGGGUGUAUUUUGUGUAGAUUGUUUUUAUAGUAACUUAUGUUUCUGUUCAACAAGCACACAUGGCAUAUGUCUUUGAGACGUAAAUUCAAAUCAGAGCGGGCACCACUAGUCGACAGUGAGGCGUUGUAAGGAGAAGUUUGGUUCUACGAGGAGAGGGCAGCCUAAUAAAUGUCAACGAACAAGUCAGAGAAAUGUUUGUCAGGGACCAUGCGUCCAAGGAGAGGAUUUAUUAUCCAUAGACGCCCACUUAAAGGUCUUACAGUGCCAAUAUCAGAAGAUGCAACCAGAUACCAUGGUGGUUCAUAACCGUAUGCAGCAAACGUUUGCUUGGCGGCAAAAAGAAAUUGCAGAUGGUAUGCCUGUGGAGGAUGUGUUGAAGAAGUACCCCUUCUUAGGGAUGCCUACUGGUCUGUGCAACGAACUCUGGUGGAUCCAACCAACAACGGGUAAUGUAAGCCAGCGAUUUCGUGAAGAGCUCUCAUGUGUUGCAGCAAAGGUGAUUGACCUUAC